rnacentral:rRNA from 1 species
ACGGAGGAUCCAAGCGUUAUCCGGAUUUAUUGGGUUUAAAGGGUGCGCAGGCGGAUCAAUAAGUCAGGGGUGAAAAAUUUCAGCUUAACUGGAAUCGUGCCGUUGAUACUGUUAGACUGGAGUAUAAUUGACGUGGGUGGAAUGUGUGGUGUAGCGGUGAAAUGAUUAGAUAUCACACAGAAUAUCGAUUGCGAAGGCAGCUCACAAAGCCAUUAUUGACGCUGAUGCACGAAAGUGUGGGGAUCAAACAG